rnacentral:tRNA from 1 species
CGGCACGUAGCGCAGCCUGGUAGCGCACCGUCAUGGGGUGUCGGGGGUCGGAGGUUCAAAUCCUUUCGUGCCGACCA